CCUACGGGAGGCAGCAGUGAGGAAUAUUGGUCAAUGGCCGGGAGGCUGAACCAGCCAAGUCGCGUGAGGGAAGACGGCCCUACGGGUUGUAAACCUCUUUUGUCAGGGAGCAAGGUGCAGGUCGGGACCUGCUGUGAGAGUACCUGAAGAAAAAGCAUCGGCUAACUCCGUGCCAGCAGCCGCGGUAAUACGGAGGAUGCGGGCGUUAUCCGGAUUUAUUGGGUUUAAGGGGUGCGCAGGCGGACGCACAAGUCAGCGGUAAAAUCGCGGGGCGAAACCUCGCUACGCCGUGGAAACUGGGUGCCUUGAGUGCGCGAAGGGUAGGCGGAAUGCGUGGUGUAGCGGUGAAAUGCAUAGAUAUCACGAAGAACUCCGAUCGCGAAGGCAGCCUACCGGCGCGCAACUGACGCUCAUGCACGAAAGCGUGGGUAUCGAACAGGAUUAGAUACCCUAGUAGUC
rnacentral:rRNA from 1 species